CCCUCGUUUGCUCAGUCAGUAGAGUACUCCACUGGAAAUGAAGUGGUUCCGGGAUCGAUACCCGGACCAGGCG
rnacentral:tRNA from 2 species